UAUGGCAUGCAUACGAGCUGCACUGUGCUGUGUAAUGUUAGGUGAUACAGUGGAGACAGUGGAGGUCAUUUGACGGGACGAUGAUGAUUAUCGAUCAGUCAGUGAGAGAAUCCUGUCAUGCGCUCAGAAAGAGCGCGAGCGGAACGCACGCGGAGCAUCGAUUUGAGCGCCAGUCCCAUGCAGUUUGAAGCUCCGCCUCCAGAGCCAGCGGACUUUAAAGCGCUCGCCGCUCUCUGACUGACUGACUGACUGACUGAAGCCCGAGCUGCGCCGCACCAUGGCAACAGAGCGGCCCUCCAAACUGCGCGUCUUCUCUCUCAACUGCUGGGGAAUUCGAUUCUUCAGUCAACUCUGUACACAGCGGUAUGAGAUGAUCGGAGAAUUACUGGGCCGAGAGCAGCACGACAUCGCCCUGUUACAG